rnacentral:rRNA from 1 species
AUAAACGCUGGCGGCGUGCCUAACACAUGCAAGUCGAGCGGCAGCGAGGGGUGCUUGCACCCUGUCGGCGAGCGGCGGACGGCUGAGUAACGCGUGGGAACGUGCCCCAAAGUGAGGAAUAACUGCCCGAAAGGGUAGCUAAUACCGCAUAUUAUCUUCGGAUCAAAGGAUUUAUCCGCUUUGGGAGCGGCUCGCGUCGGAUUAGGUAGUUGGUGAGGUAAUGGCUCACCAAGCCGACGAUCCGUAGCUGGUCUGAGAGGAUGACCAGCCAGACUGGAACUGAGACACGGUCCAGACUCCUACGGGAGGCAGCAGUGAGGAAUCUUCCACAAUGGGCGAAAGCCUGAUGGAGCAACGCCGCGUGCAGGACGAAGGCCUUCGGGUUGUAAACUGCUUUUAUAAGUGAGGAAUAUGACGGUAACUGAUGAAUAAGGAUCGGCUAACUACGUG